rnacentral:rRNA from 1 species
AUUGAACGCUGGCGGCAUGCUUUACACAUGCAAGUCGAGCGGCAGCGCGGGGGCAACCCUGGCGGCGAGCGGCGAACGGGUGAGUAAUGCAUCGGAACGUAUCCUCGAGUGGGGGAUAACCCAGCGAAAGUUGGGCUAAUACCGCAUGAGCUCUGAGGAGGAAAGCGGGGGACCUGCGAGGGCCUCGCGCUGGAGGAGCGGCCGAUGUCCGAUUAGCUGGUUGGUGGGGUAAAGGCUUACCAAGGCGACGAUCGGUAGCUGGGCUGGGAGGAUGAUCAGCCACACUGGGGCUGAGACACGGCCCAGACUCCUACGGGAGGGAGCAGAGGGGAAUUUUGGACAAUGGGGGCAACCCUGGUCCAGCCAUGCCGCGUGAGUGAAGAAGGCCUUCGGGUUGUAAAGCUCUUUCGGACGGAACGAAAUGGGCGGGACUAAUACUCCUGUCUGAUGACGGUACCGUAAGAAGAAGCACCGGCUAACUACGUG